rnacentral:rRNA from 1 species
AACUGAGACCGGCUUUUUGGGAUUCGCUCCACCUUACGGUAUCGCAGCCCUCUGUACCGGCCAUUGUAGCAUGCGUGAAGCCCAAGACAUAAGGGGCAUGAUGAUUUGACGUCAUCCCCACCUUCCUCCGAGUUGACCCCGGCAGUCUCCCAUGAGUCCCCGGCAUAACCCGCUGGCAACAUAGGACGAGGGUUGCGCUCGUUGCGGGACUUAACCCAACAUCUCACGACACGAGCUGACGACAACCAUGCACCACCUGUGUACGAGUGUCCAAAGAGAACCCCGUCUCGGGGGCUUUCUCGUACAUGUCAAGCCUUGGUAAGGUUCUUCGCGUUGCAUCGAAUUAAUCCGCAUGCUCCGCCGCUUGUGCGGGCCCCCGUCAAUUCCUUUGAGUUUUAGCCUUGCGGCCGUACUCCCCAGGCGGGGCACUUAAUGCGUUAGCUGCGGCACGGAACUCGUGGAAUGAGCCCCACACCUAGUGCCCAACGUUUACGGCAUGGACUACCAGGGUAUCUAAUCCUGUUCGCUCCCCAUGCUUUCGCUCCUCAGCGUCAGUUGCGGCCCAGAGACCUGCCUUCGCCAUCGGUGUUCCUCCUGAUAUCUGCGCAUUCCACCGCUACACCAGGAAUUCCAGUCUCCCCUACCGCACUCUAGUCUGCCCGUACCCGAUGCAAGCCCGAGGUUGAGCCUCGGGAUUUCACACCAGACGCGACAGACCGCCUACGAGCUCUUUACGCCCAAUAAUUCCGGACAACGCUUGCGCCCUACGUAUUACCGCGGCUGCUGGCACGUAGUUAGCCGGCGCUUCUUCUGCAGGUACCGUCACUUGCGCUUCUUCCCUGCUGAAAGAGGUUUACAACCCGAAGGCCGUCAUCCCUCACGCGGCGUCGCUGCAUCAGGCUUGCGCCCAUUGUGCAAUAUUCCCCACUGCUGCCUCCCGUAGGAGUCUGGGCCGUGUCUCAGUCCCAGUGUGGCCGGUCGCCCUCUCAGGCCGGCUACCCGUCGACGCCUUGGUAGGCCAUCACCCCACCAACAAGCUGAUAGGCCGCGAGCCCAUCCCCCACCGAAAAACUUUCCAACCCACACCAUGCGAUGCGAGCUCAUAUCCGGUAUUAGACCCCGUUUCCAAGGCUUAUCCCGAAGUGGAGGGCAGGUUGCUCACGUGUUACUCACCCGUUCGCCACUGAUCCACCCAGCAAGCUAGGCUUCAC